GCUUGGGUACUCACUUGAAGGGAAGAUGGUGGGACGGGACUUUUAUUAAUUAGAUGGAGUGAAUUUCCCAUAAUGCCCCUACUUUCUCUUAUAGAGAGGCUUCUUUCUGGACAAAUUCUUUUCUUUACCUACCAUGAAGUGCCACGGGAUGACCUUUUCUUAUCCUGCUCUUGCUUGACAUGGUAAACAGUAUUGCCCAGCAUUAUCUCAAUUAUUUAAUUAGUUUUAUGGCCCGGCAAUUACAUUUCUGUAUUUCCAUUCAAAAAUUAUAUUAAACUGAAAAAACUUUUUGUCUACUUUUGUUAGAUUCAUAUAUCUUUGUUGAAAUAGUAUACUUGAUAGCUAUCUAUUUUCAUAUUAUUUUUUAAAUAUUUUAUAUUUAUUAAAAAAAUUUAUUAUUAAAAAAAAGGCCUCAUUCAUUGGAUUCGCCUUAGGCCCCCAAAUGUAUCGGGCCGCCCCUGUAGUGCACUAGCAUGCCUAGGGCGAACAAGCUACGGAUUAAGUGCAAGGCACAAAAGAAUAAGCCGUUGCGCGUUAGCGCAACUGUUUUCUUAUUUGUAGCACGUUAGUUUUGAAGCGGCACCCCUCCGUUUUCCGCCUUCAAAAUAAGGCUCGCACUAAUUUCUUAAGAGUCUUUGGUCUCGCACCUACAACCUCUCCGGAGAAUGCUUGAAGCUUCUAGUCUUGCACUAGUCACCCCUACGACCAUGGUCGCACAUCACAGCGAGCAAAGAAAGAAAAUCUUCCAAAAACUGCAUUGAUGAAUUCUUGAUAUCAAAAGGGUAUAACUGAGAUAUAUUUAUUGAUGGGGCAAACUCAAACACAAAAAGAGAUAAAACUAUGAAGAAGGAGAAACUAAAAGAAAACUGUUAUUAAUAUUACCCACACCGUACAAAUGAGAAUCAACAAGUAUUUAAAGUAGUAGCUUUAGAAGUGAUAAGAAACUAAAAGAUAAACAUCUAAAAGAUAGACCUCAUCAACUAGAUAGACUUUGUCACUUAGAUAAAGAUGAGAAAUAAUGGUAGACUUAAUCAAUUAAAUAAACUUAAUCCCAAAAGAUAAAGAUAUAUUAGGAAUCUGGAUUAACUUCAAUAUUUCUCCUUAAUCCAGAUUUGGUCAAACUUGCCAUUGCCAACAUACACUUAAGCUUGAUGAAUGAGUCAAACUUCAAGGCUUGGUAAGAAUAUCUGCAAUCUGAUUCUCUGAGUCGCAAUAAACUACUUGGACUUGAUUUUUAUUCACUUGAUCUCGGACAAAGUGAAAUCGCGUGUCUAUAUGCUUACUUCUUCCAUGAGUGAUUGGGUUCUUUGCCAUAUUAAUAGCUGAAAUAUUACUAACAAAAAUCUUUACUGGUCAUUUGAUUGAAAUGUGAAUCUAAUUUAACAUGUUUCUCUGCCAAAUUGCUUAACAUGCACUAGAAACUAUAGCCAUAUAUUUUGCUUCAUACAUGGACAAAGCAACAACUGAUUGUUUCUUUGAGGAACAUGAGAAAGCUGUUGAGCCAAAACUAAAAAGAUAACCUGAGGUGCUUCUUUCAUCUUGAUCACCACCCCAAUCACUAUUAGAAUAUCCAAUCAACUCACAUGUAUUAGUUGGGGAAUAAAAUAAACCAUGGUCACAAUUACCUUUUAUGUAGCACAGAUUUCCUUUUUAGCAACUUGCAAAUGAGACAUUUAAGAUGCUUCCAUGAACUUGCUCAUAAAACUAACUCCACAAGCUAUACCAGGUUUUGUGCAGGUUAGAUACCUCAAGCUACCAAUUAUUCUUCAGCGGUGCAGCUGAAUCAAUACAUUCCCUAGACAAUUUAGUUCCAACUUCAGUUGAGUGUGCACAGGAUUAUAGUCAAAUAUAUUAAACUUCUUCAAACUUUCUGCAGGAUACCUCAUUUGAUAGAGAAAAAUUUCCAUCUUUGCUUUGCACAACCUCAAUCCAAAAGGAAAUAUGUUAUCAUGCCCAAAUCUGUCAUAUCAAACUUUUUCACCAUUGCUGGCUUGAAUUCUUCUAUCAUGCUAAGGUUAACUCCAGUAAAAAUUAGGCUAUGAUAUUAAGGCACACGAUUAGUACAUCAUUGGAACCUCUAAUUUUCACAUAUAUGGUAUGCCCACACAAGUGCUUUUCAAACCUAUUUUCUUGGAAGAACAUAUCAAUGCACUUAUUCCAUGCCCUUAGAGCUUGCUUAUAUAUCUUUCUUCACGUACAAAACCUGGUAGUUGCUUAACAUGGCUGUACCCUUUUGCUACCUAUCUCGUCUAAUACCGUUCAAUUUUACCACUUGGCUUGACUUUUAGCUUGAAAACCCACUUCACAUCAAUUGCUUUGCAUCCUUGUGGAAUGUUUGUGAGUUCCCAUAUGUCAUUUCUCUAAAUCAUCUUGAUCUCUUCGUUCAUGGCUUCCACUCAUUUGUCAGUUUUGGCCGCUUCUUCAAAAGUAAGAGGAUCUUAAUCCGGAAACAUUGGAAAGUAAACUAAUUGUGAGAAUAGGCGUCAAUGGGCUGAAGCCGGCAGGCCUAGCCGACUUCAGCCCAUGGCCCCAAACCCAGAACAAAGGCCGAACUCAACUCUUUUUUUUUCGUUCCAUGGGCGCCGGGGCAAGAGAAGAGGAAAGGAUGGGAGAAAGAAUCCUUUGAUCUCCCCAGAGUGACCACUCUCACCUCUCUCUCCGGCUCCAACUCCUCUUUUCCCGGUGGCUGGUGUGCCACCCCGGCCGAGCACCGCCGCGCAGAGCCUCCUUUUCUCUCCAUUUCCUCCGUCUACUCUGUUCCGAGGUUCUUUUUCCCCUGCUUUGAACUCCGCCGCCGCUAUCUGCCGGCCGAGCUAUCCGCUGCCGAGGAUAUCCUCCCUCUUCUCCUCCUUCUCCGGUGGCCGGCGGGCCACCCCGGCCGAACGCCACCCCAUGGAAGCCUCGAGGUUCUGCUUGCUCUGUUCUGUGACUCCUUUCUUCGUGGGAAGAUGCCGCUGCCGCUGCCACCGCCGGAAGAAGCACCGCCACCGCAGCGCCUCGGUGAUCCUUCUUUCCCCUUUUCCCUUUCUUUAGACAGUUGCCGGAGCCCCAUUUGAGAUCAUGAAGAAAGGGCCCGAGGUCUCCGUUUUUGGCCCUUUCUUCUUUUUCCUUUCCAUCUCUGGCCAUUUUGCCACCUCCGCCGGCUGCCACUGCGGUCACCGCCGCCUCUGUCGCUGGCUCUAUCGUGAGCCGCCGGCCGGGCCACCCUUGGCCAUCAACCACCCCCAGCCUUCUGGCCCUCCCCCACUUCAUUCAUUUUUGGUCCUGUUGGGCCAUGCCCAUUAUGAACCAAACUUGGGCCCAAUUUAAUCAUUUUGGGCUAUGCCCAUUGCGAACCAAACUUGGGCCCAGGUUGGUCACUUUGGGCCCUAUUGGGCCAUGCCCAAUGCAGGCCAAUGUUGUGUGUUAAGUUUGGGCCUUAUUGAGCCGUGUCCAUUGCAGACCGAGUUUGGGCCUCAUUGGGUCGUGUCCAAUAUGAGCCAAUGCAGGCUUAUUGGGUCAUGUCUAAUGUGAGCCAAGUUUGGGGCUCUAUUGGGCCGUGUCCAAUGUGGGUCAAGUUUGGAUCCCUAUUGGGCCGUGUCUAUUGCGGGCCGAGUUCGGGCUCUAUUAGGUUGUGUCCAAUGCAGGCCGUGUUUGGGCCCUAUUAGGCUGUGUCCAAUGUGGGCCGAUGCGGGCUUGUUAGGUCGUACCCAUUAUGGGCCGAGUUCGAGCCUUAUUGAGUCGUAUCCAUUGUAGGCCGAGUUCGGGCCCUGUUGGGCUGUGUCCAAUGUGGGUCGAGUUCAGGCCCAUUGUUGGCCGUGCCCAUUGUGGGCUGGGUUCGAGCCUAUUCACCUUGAAUUUGUUUAUCAAUUACGAGGUCAUGUUCAAUAGUAUUUUUGGCUUUGCUUAGCUUUGAAAUUAAUAAAAAAAUUAAUUAUAUUUAAUAAUAUUUAAACAUGUGAACCUGAUCCACCAAUCUAAAGUAGGAUUUAAAGCGAGAAGAGGCAAGUAACCUAAUACUUGAAAGUAUGUUUUCCAAAUUAUUUAUUAAAAUAAUUAUUAAUUGAUUAAAUUUUGAUACAUGUUUUGUACUUAGUUAAACGGGUUAGAUAUGUUAAUUAUCAUUUUGAAUUUAUGUUAUAUGUUAUGAAAUCUGAAAAAUAUGACUGGAUAAAUUAUGAAAAAUCUAUUUUAUAUGUAUGUAUUCUCAGCAUGACUAUAAUCUGUUCUCGCCCCGCUAAUGGAGAUUAUUCAUUGGCCCUGUCGACUUGCAAUAUGUGAGAAACUGGUUUUGACACCGCAACACUGGUGAUUAGAAUUGUAAUAUUUGGACACCAUUGCCAUCGGUGGUUAAUAAUGGUGGAUUUGACACUUUGUGCAACCCAUGCUACUGGGUUACGUGGCUAUAGCCUAUUGAUGUUGGGAUUCUGGUACUAGAGUAUUUAUGAAAAUGAUAAUAAUUUUUUUAAAAGAUAUGUUUAUUGAUGACUUAUAUUCUCAGUCAUUAUUUUAUAUUUCAAUUAAAUAUCUGGCAUGCUUUGAGCCCACUAUGGGGUAUUACAUUGUUAUAGCUCAUUAUCAUAUUUUCUCUGUUUUCAGAUCCGGAUACAUGAUCGCACGGGACUUGGGGAGUGCGCUAGAUUUUUGAAGAUUUUUCAAUUAUUGACAUUUUAGUUAAAUUAGUCAGAUUAUUUGAUUUAUGUUAGCACAUGUUACUUUGAAAUUAUUAUAAGAACUAUUUGAAUAAAUUGAUGAUUAAACAAAUUUUAAGAAUUUUUCAUUGCUUUGAUAUGAUCUGUUGCCUUAUAUGCUUGUAUGGUCUGUCGUACAGGCAUACAACAUCUGUAGCGCUUCAGGCCCGGCAUGACACUAAUUCUCCAUCAUCAUUAGUUGUGUGAGACCCAAGCUUUUUGGCGUCACGUGUGUCGCACGUGAGGGCACACGAUGAAGGGGGAUUCAUCGCGAUCGCCCGAGGAAGACGGAAACCCCAUUUUUUUAGGGCUUCUUUCUCGUUCCAUUGAGGCCACCCGAGGAAGAGCUGCCAUGCCCGAGUUCCCUUCGGGUUGGAGCUUCUUCUUCCUCGCAUUGCCGCCCGAGAGAGAGAGGGAGAGAGAGCCAAGAAGCCAUGACACGGGUGACCCUUUUCCUCUACUGCCACCGGAGAGGAAGAAAGCCGCCGAACCUUCGUCGGGGCUGAGGUAAGGCAUUCUCCUCCUCCUCUCUUGGUGAUUAGCCAUAGUCUAUGGUGGUUUUGAGCUGGCUGAUCGCCGAAAAUUAGACCCGGAAGCUCUUGCUGUCGGCCUUGUUCGCCAUCGCCAGCCGCCGGGGGUGGUCAGGCUUGCUCCGCCGCCUUCUACCGCCGCCGGAGCUGGCCACCACGGCCGCCCUUGGGCUCGACCGAGGAGGGAAGAAGAAGAAAUAUAGGGAGGGGAAGAAGAAAGAAGUCGGGAGAAGUUUCUGGAGAAGAAGAGAAGAAAAGAAAGAAGAAAAAGACAAAGGAAAGAAAAAAAUAAAUAAAUAAAUAAAUAUAUAUAAACGAAUAAAGAGUGGGGGUGGUUUACGGGUAUGAACUCGAACUUGGGGUGCUAGGCAUUUCUGUAGGGUCAGUCAUGGGAGGAUAUUAAAAUUAAGUUUUUGUAUACAUAUAUUGUGAUGAAUUAGAAAAGAAGAAUAUGAUUUUUGAAUAUUAGAUUCUGCGAGGGAUUUGCGGAAUUAAUUGGAUUUGUUGUGGAUCACGUUCGCAAGAUAAGUGAUGUAACAUCUUUUUUAGAUUUAUCGGCAAACUAUAUAUAUGUUUUACGAAUCGAAUUAUCCGUGAUUUCGAAUUUGAUGCAUGGAUUAUAUGUAUAUUUUUAGAAUAUUGUAUGACUUUGAUCGAACGUAUUUGUUUCUGAUUUGAAUUGUAUUUAAUUGCUCUGACAUUGUGCCUUUCGGCCUGGAACACUGAACAUAAUGUCAGAAAAAAUAAUGACUUGAAAUAGAUUCAGACUUGCAGUCGGGCUAUGUUGAGGACCCUGCCAAUGGGGGCUAAUACAUUGGUACUGCAAGAAGAAUAGUCGGUGAUAUGACCCUGCCACAGGGAACAUGUAGUUAUAGUUUCUGGCUGUUGAGUUGAAUUUGAUAAAUUGAAAGAAAUUAAGAUAUGAACGAUAUUUGGUUUUGACACUGCAUGUUUUCAUGACUGAAAUAUGAAUAGAGAACUAAUUGAACUUCGACCUGGCUAUGUUGAGGACCCCGCCAAUGAGGGCAGAUACGUUGGCAAUUGACUGUCCUGAAGGUCUCACCGCAAGAAGAUUAGUCGGUGUUGAUGACCCUGCCACAGGGAACAUAUGGUCAUAGUUCAGGAUCGACAAGAUGAAUUGAAUAUGUGAAAGAAUCUCGAAACCGUAAAAAAAAUCUUAAGAAUUUAAGAAAUAUUUGACUUGUACCUUGGAACUGCAUAUAUAUUUAUUUUCUACAUAUUAUUGCUUGAUUUAUUUAGUUAGAGUGUUCAUUACUUACUGGGCUGUUUAGCUCAUUAUACAAUUUCUUGUUGUUUUACAGAUUCCGAGAACUAGUCUAUUGGGGUUCCAAAAUAGGAGAGCGACUAGAAGGAUUGUGGCACAAGUUAUCUUAGAUUA
rnacentral:lncRNA from 1 species